AUGUGUGGCACCAGAAACCGAUCACUAGUGCUAACGUCAUUUAAGCGAGAGGCUGUACAAGGAUCUGUAGAGAUGGAACCCUUUGUCCUCAGUCCAGUUGUUAUCCUCUCCAAUACCAGGCUCCCAGGAGAGCAGGAAUCAGCAGCCUCAGCACAGAUGUCCGCCCGUGUCAUCAAUGUCUGCAUUCUAGGCAAGUGUCAGCAGCCCCUUGCUGUAACCUACUCAUUUGAAAAGACCCUGGCCCUUCCCCGGCUCCUCGGCACUGUUUUCUGGAAGCUUCGUGAAGGCGGUGGGUGCUUACGGUUGGUCACUGGUCAGGCGCAAUCCACGUCCAUCCGCCCUUCCCAAGCUUACGCAGACCCAUCCACGGUUGCCAUACCCAAGAAUGUAGCCCCCUGGACCUGGCCGCCCGCCGGGGCUGUCGGGGCUGCUGGCGGCCGCGGGAAGAGCGCGUAUCAGGACCGCGAUAAGCCGGCCCAGAUCCGCUACAGCAACAUCUCCGCAGCCAAAGCUACUAGCUGAUGCUAUUAGAACAAGCCUUGGACCAAAAGGAAUGGAUAAAAUGAUUCAAGAUGGAAAAGGUGAUGUGACCAUUAUAAAUGAUUUCACCAUUCUGAAACAAAUGCAGGUGUUACAUCCAGCAGCCAGAAUGCUGGUGGAGCUGUCCAAGGCUCAGGAUAUAGAAGCAGGAGAUGGCACCACAUCAGUGGUCAUUAUUGCUGGCUCUCUCUUGGAUUCCUGUACCAAGCUUCUUCAGAAAGGGAUUCAUCCCAGCAUCAUUUCUGAGUCAUUCCAGAAGGCUUUGGAAGAGGGCAUUGAAAUCUUGACUGACAUGUCUUGACCUGUGGAACUGAGUGACAGAGAAACUGUUAAAUAGUGCGACCACUUCAUUGAACUCAAAGGUUGUGUCUCAGUAUUCAAGUCUCCUUUCUCCAAUGAGUGUAGAUGCAGUGAUGAAAGUGAUUGACCCAGCCACAUAUACUAGUGUACAUCUUAGAGAUAUUAAAAUAGUUAAGAAGCCUGGUGGGACAAUUGAUGACUGUGAGUUGGUGGAAGGUCUGGUUCUUACUCAAAAGGUAGCAAAUUCUGGCAUAACCAGAGUUGAAAAGGUUAAGAUUGGGCUUAUUCAGUUCUGCUUAUCUGCUCCCAAAACAGAUAUCGACAAUCAAAUAGUGGUUUCUGACUAUGUUCAGAUGGAUCCAGUGCUAAGAGAAGAGAGAGCUUAUAUUCUAAAUUUAGUGAAGCAAAUGAAAAAAACAGGAUGUAAUGUUCUUCUCAUACAGAAGUCUAUUCUAAGAGAUGCUCUUAGUGAUCUUGCAUUACAUUUCCUGAACAAAAUGAAGAUUAUGGUGGUAAAGGAUGUUGAAAGAGAAGACAAUGAAUUCAUUUGUAAGACGAUUGGAACCAAACCAGUUGCUCAUGUUGACCAGUUCACUGCCAACAUGCUGGGAUCUGUCGAAUUAGCUGAGGAGGUCAGCUUAAAUGGUUCUGGCAAACUGAUCAAGAUUACAGGCUGUGCAAGCCCUGGAAAAACAGUUACAAUUGUUGUUCGUGGUUCUAACAAAUUGCUGAUUGAAGGAGCUGAGGGUUCCGUCCAUGACGCUCUCUGCGUUAUUCGCUGUUUAGUGAAGAAGAGAGCACUCAUUGCAGGAGGUGGUGCUCCAGAAAUAGAGUUGGCCCUCCGGGUAACUGAAUACUCACGAACAUUGCGUGGUAUGGAAUCCUACUGCAUUCGUGCUUUUCCAGAUGCUAUGGAAGUCAUUCCAUCUACAGUAGCUGAAAACGCUGGCCUGAAUCCCAUUUCUACUGUAACAGAACUAAGAAACCGGCAUGCCCAAGGAGAAAAAUUGACGUCCGAAAGGGUGGUAUUUCCAACAUAUUAGAGGAACUGGUUGUCCAGCCCCUGCUGGUUUCAGUCACUGCUCUGACUCUAGCAACUGAAACUGUCCGGAGCAUUCUGAAAAUUGAUGAUGUGGUAAACACUCGGUAAUCUGGUUAACACUGG